rfam:Actinobacteria bacterium OK074 ctg119, whole genome shotgun sequence.
CUUCACCGAGCCGAGCCACAACGGCCGGUCCGCCUGGCGGUCCUGCCCGUACGUGGCGAGCAGCGCCUGCGCCUC